UACCAGCACCCCGAGUGGUCGUGACGAUUAUUGGGCCUAAAGCAUCCGUAGCCGGUUUUACAAGUCCCCCGUUAAAUCCAGCUGCUUAACAGAUGGGCUGCGGAGGAUACUAUAAGACUAGGAGGCAGGAGAGGCAAGCGGUACUCGGUGGGUAGGGGUAAAAUCCGUUGAUCCAUUGAAGACCACCAGUGGCGAAGGCGGCUUGCCAGAAUGCGCUCGACGGUGAGGGAUGAAAGCUGGGGGAGCAAACCGG
rnacentral:rRNA from 1 species